rnacentral:rRNA from 1 species
CCCUUAGAUGUUCUGGGCCGCACGCGCGCUACACUGAAGGGAUCAGCGUGUUUUCCCUUUCCGAGAGGAACGGGUAACCCGCUGAACCCCCUUCGUGGUAGGGAUCGGAGCUUGCAAUUGUUCUCCGUGAACCAGGAAUUCCCAGUAAGCGCAAGUCAUAAGCUUGCGUUGAUUACGUCCCUGCCCUUUGUACACACCGCCCGUCGCUACUACCGAUUGAACGUUUUAGUGAGGUAUUUGGACUGGGCCUUGGGUGGUUUCGGCCUCCCUUGUUGCUCGGAAAGACUCCCAAACUUGAGCGUUUAGAGGAAGUAAAAGUCGUAACA